rnacentral:misc_RNA from 1 species
CGUGCCUCGUACACGCAGAGGGAGCAGUCGGCAAAGCUACUUUCAAGCCGGCGUCGAGGGAGCCGGCAGUCAACGAAUCGUGUAGCCGGUGAGCGGCGAGUGAGCGGUUGAAGGCUCGGUGCAGUUUUGUCUCGUUCCUGUGUCUGUAGCCGCCGGCGUCGCCACCAUGGCCGUCAACGAGGCUGAGAAGUCUCAGGUGAACGAAAUGGUGAACGACUUCAUGCGUUACCAGCUAAACCGGCGCGGCCUUCAGUGGAAUACGUGCCCGCCAUUGCCGCGACCUUCCAAAGUGGCUCUCGUACUGCGGACGCUGGGGGAUGAAUUCAUCACCAAAUACCGCGAGGAGUUCACUCAGAUGUGUGGCCGACUCGACAUGACUCCCUCUGUGGCCCAGACAGCGUACAUGGACGUCCUGAACGAGCUCUUCAGCGAAGGGAUUACGUGGGCACGCAUCGUGGGUGCCUUCGCAUUCAGUGUGGAGCUGUCGGCGCUCUGCGUCGAGAAGAACUGGUCGGAGCUGGUGGACAGCAUCGCAUCCUGGUUGUCUUCGUACGUCUGUACGAGGCUUCUUCCCUGGAUAAGGGACCACCAAGGAUGGGACGGCCUGGUCGUGUUCAGCGAGGAGCGCGACGACACCGGCGCUGCCGAGUCUCCCUGGCCAAUCUUCAAGAACGUGGUGUGCGGGGUGGCCGUCACGGCGCUCGGUGCCCUCACGCUCGGCGCCUUCCUCACGUCCAAGUCGUAGGUCGCCGCGCAGGCGCCGGACGAUAACCAGCCGCCCGGCCCGCCGCGCCCCCGGAUUCUUCGCGCCGCGGCUGGCCUGGACACGCAAGCUCCACCCAGUACACUCGCUUCACGUGUACCUGCACGAGAAAGGCGACCAGCCGGCCGCCCUUUCUCUACCACUGCGUCCCUGACCGACGCUGUCAUUGCCGAGGAACUCGCGUUCUUCCAGCACAGGCCGAGGACACUCUCGGACUUGUGCCUCAACGCCAGGGUGCCUCUCGCGACUGUGGCGGUGGACAAAGAGUACAGCGGCAGCAGUGCGCGGUCAAGUGGGCGAGUCUUCUGUGGUUCGGACUCUUUCGCGUUUCUCGUCGCUGUCGUGGCGGCGCCUCCUCGUUUGUGGUGCGGCGCGCGGCAUUUGUCAAGACGGGCCGGCCGGUCGGUGGCCGGCUGCAUGUUGGUGUGGUGCUCGCGGAAAGCGGUGGUACGGACGUACGGACAAUGCUUAACCCGAUCGGUGGACGAGCGACCCCUCCUUCUACGAGAGUUCAAACGACGGCGUUUGCUUCGUCGUCUCUUAUACAGCCCGCUCGCCAGCAGGACUUCCAGAACGAAAUGUGUGAUGGCGCAGCGGUGAGGGGGAAGUGUCCUCCGCCGCGGUGAAUUCGCCCGUGUGUAAAGCGAGCGCCUACUACAGUGCCGAUGUGUGUCGUUCACCCGAAAGAAGAAAAAAAAAUUGUCGGUACUUUUUGCUACUUUUACUUGCGGACUUUCCGUAUACCGAACGCAAUCACCUGCCGAGAUGAGCGUCGCUUUACUGUGUACGCGUCGCGCUUCGGUCGCGUUCUUUGUCAAUUUUAAAAACAGCAGUGCUAGUUGCGUAGUUGUGUGAAAUUUUCUUUCUCGUUCCACCUUAACGCUGUGGACUUGUGUGAACGUGUUCAGUGUGCGAGAGUCUUGCCUGUAGUUGACUGUUUGUCGUUUUCUUUUCUGAUUGCGUUUUUUUGUUCUUUUGGUUACUUUGGUGUUCGAAUGCUCUUACUUCCGCUGCCGGAAACCGCAUACUGUCAGCAACGCCAGCUAGUCCGACGCUGCCCUUUGAAUAAAAGUGAUUACAGCCGUUUUCGAAAAGGAAAAAGUUUAUCGAAACCACUUGGGCACACUUAUUAUACGCGGGGGGUCUGUUCUCUUCGUAGGCAGAACUCAACAGUGCAGCGAAAAGACUGUUCCAUGUCAUUUUAUACGCGCCCAUCCUUCAUGUCCAUUAUUUAAUGUUCUUAAUGUCGCUUUACAGCAUCAUUGUCAUGCCGAUCUUGUCGAUUCAUGAAGCACUGCCAAAAUACACAGCCGAUUCCCCAAGGAGCGCGCGUUUCAGGACAGUGCAGCGCAGGUAUUUUCACCAGCAUGCAAAAGCAUUCAAUCCAAUCCAGGCGUCGCUGGCGUACGAUGCGUGGUAUUCCAUGCGUGAUUGGUCAGUGCGCAGAAUACGUUGGCCCUAGUUCACGGCAUGCACUGUAGGUAUGUACUCGGAUCAGCUGGAAAAAAGUGUCGCGUGA